CAGGAAUGCAUUUUGUACAGCUCAUCUUAAUUAUUGCUCUGGCUGCCCAAGCUAAAGCUACUACUAUUCAAGACCUAAGGAAUGCAUUAAAUACACAUGGUCAGAAAAUGUGGACUCGUUAUUGUUCAUAUCAGUUGCCCCAGCACAAAUGCGUAUAUGCUGAAGUACGAAACAUAGGGCAUGAUGAGUACGCAUAUGCACGACAUUACGAGAUAUGCGGCACUUGGCACAGCACUAUGUAUUAUGCACUAUUGAUAGAAGCGGCAAGACAAGGGGCAAGUCCAGUAAUGGAAAUCAGCACGCAGAAAGGAAAAGGCGGAACAUACUAUACCCUAUAUUUUUGGGACCAGCACGAGCAUUGCGCCGUGUUUUUGCUGCGAAAGAAUGGUAAGACUGAUUGCCAGAUGCACGUGUGGGGGGACCACGUUCGAGCACAGGUACCUAGGUGCGAAACGGCAUAUAAAAGCAAGUGUGAUCAAAAAUGGCCUGUUUAUACUGACCAAUGCGGACCACCUUGAUUUAUUCAAAAUAUUUGGUUUUUGUUGAAUACGAUAUGAGUAAUUUGCGUACUGAAUAAAGGUUUAAAAUCAUUGCAAUAAGGCA